rnacentral:rRNA from 1 species
CAGGUAGUAGUGGGUGUAGCGUACCUACUAGCCUACGACGGGUACGGGUUGUGAGAGCAAGAGCCCGGAGAUGGAUUCUGAGACACGAAUCCAGGCCCUACGGGGUGCAGCAGGCGCGAAAACUUUACAAUGCUGGAAACAGCGAUAAGGGGACCCCGAGUGCCAGGUUACAAAUCUGGCUGUCGUGAUGCCUAAAAAGCAUUGCAUAGCAAGGGCCGGGCAAGACCGGUGCCAGCCGCCGCGGUAACACCGGCGGCUCGAGUGGUAACCGUUAUUAUUGGGUCUAAAGGGUCUGUAGCCGGCCGGAUAAGUCUCUUGGGAAAUCUGGCAGCUUAACUGUCAGGCUUUCAGGAGAUACUGUCUGGCUCGAGGCCGGGAGAGGUGAGAGGUACUUCAGGGGUAGGGGUGAAAUCUUGUAAUCCUUGAAGGACCACCAGUGGCGAAGGCGUCUCACCAGAACGGACCUGACGGCAAGGGACGAAAGCUAGGGGCACGAACCGGAUUAGAUACCCGGGUAGUCCUAGCCGUAAACGAUACUCGCUAGGUGUCGGCAACGGUGCGACCGUUGUCGGUGCCGUAGGGAAGCCGUGAAGCGAGCCACCUGGGAAGUACGGCCGCAAGGCUGAAACUUAAAGGAAUUGGCGGGGGAGCAC